rnacentral:lncRNA from 1 species
UUUUUUUUUUUUUUAAAAAGGGAAUUUGGAGUUUUACAGGACUUUAGAUUAGAGAGACUAGAUAUUUUUAAAGAGUCAACUUUUAAAGUGUUUGAAUUUGUAAGGCUAUGGGACUUUUUAAGUUUAUGAAAUGUUUUAUAUUGUGCUGUCUUAUUUGUAUGAUCUUGGGGAUGAACAAAAAGGGAAGGGUAUGGUUUAUCAGCGACGUGCUUGUCAGGCUGACAAUGGCUCAGUUUUGCUGGUUAGUUUUGUGACAACUUGACACAGGCUACCCUCAUUUGAGAGGAGGGAACCUUGAUUGAGAAAAUGCCUAUAUGAUAUUGGGCUGUAGGCAAGCCCUUAGGGCAGUGGUUCUCAACCUUCCUAAUCCUGCAACUCUUUAAGAUAGCUCUUCAUGUUGCACUGACCCCCAACCAUAAAAUUAUUUUCUUGCUUCUUCGUGAAUGCAUUUUUGCUACUGUUACGAAGCACAAUAUUGUAAAUAUCUAAUAUGUGACCCCUGUGGGGGUUGAGACCCACAAGUUGAGCACCACUGCUGCAGGGCAUUUUUCUUAGUGAUUGGUACGGAAGGGCCCAGCCUAUUAUGAAUGUUACUAUCCCUGGGAUGGUGGUGCUAGAUUCUAUAAGUAAACAGUCUGAGUAAAUUAUAAGGAGCAAGCCAGUAAACAGCACUCUGCCUACCAUGGCCUCUGUCAGCCUCUGCCUCCAGGUCCUUGCCCUGCUUGACUUUCUGUCCUGAUUUACAUCAAUUAAAUAAAUAAAGCCUUUCCUUUCCACCUUG